UACGUAGGUGGCAAGCGUUGUCCGGAAUCACUGGGCGUAAAGCGCACGUAGGCGGACUCUUAAGUCGGUGGUGAAAUCCUGGAGCUCAACUCCAGAACUGCCUUCGAUACUGAGAGUCUCGAGUCCGAGAGAGGUGAGUGGAACUGCGAGUGUAGAGGUGAAAUUCGUAGAUAUUCGCAAGAACACCAGUGGCGAAGGCGGCUCACUGGCUCGGUACUGACGCUGAGGUGCGAAAGCGUGGGGAGCAAACAGG
rnacentral:rRNA from 1 species